rnacentral:rRNA from 1 species
UACGUAGGUGACCAGCGUUGUCCGGAUUUACUGGGCGUAAAGAGCGCGCAGGCGGUCGUUCAAGUCGAGUGUGAAAGCCCCCGGCUCAACUGGGGAGGGUCAUUCGAUACUGAUCGACUGGAAGGCAGGAGAGGGAAGCGGAAUUCCCGGUGUAGUGGUGAAAUGCGUAGAGAUCGGAAGGAACGUCGAUGGCGAAGGCAGCCACCUGGCAUAAUACUGACGCUGAGGCGCGAAAGCGUGGGGAGCGAACAGG